AAAAAUUAGAUUUUUUCCCAUAGGAAUGCAUGGGUUAGGGUUAGGGUUAGGCUUGGAGCUAGGGUUAGGGUUAGGGUUAGGGUUGGAGUUAGGGUUAGUGUUGGAGCUAGGGUUAGGGUUGGGCUUGGAGCUAGGAUUUUUCUGAGUGCAAUGAACCAACUCCCGAGUCUCUAGGACGUUCCUAAAAAAAUUUGAUUUUUUCCCAUAGGAAUGCAUGGGUUAGGGUUAGGGUUAGGGUUGGAGCUAGGGUUAGGGUUAGGGUUAGGGUUGGAGUUAGGGUUAGUGUUGGAGCUAGGGUUAGGGUUGGGCUUGGAGCUAGGAUUUUUCUGAGUGCA